rnacentral:rRNA from 1 species
GACGAACGCUGGCGGCGUGCCUAACACAUGCAAGUCGAACGGAGAAUUUUAUUUCGGUAGAAUUCUUAGUGGCGAACGGGUGAGUAACGCGUAGGCAACCUACCCUUUAGACGGGGACAACAUUCCGAAAGGAGUGCUAAUACCGGAUGUGAUCAUCUUGCCGCAUGGCAGGAUGAAGAAAGAUGGCCUCUACAAGUAAGCUAUCGCUAAAGGAUGGGCCUGCGUCUGAUUAGCUAGUUGGUAGUGUAACGGACUACCAAGGCGAUGAUCAGUAGCCGGUCUGAGAGGAUGAACGGCCACAUUGGGACUGAGACACGGCCCAAACUCCUACGGGAGGCAGCAGUGGGGAAUCUUCCGCAAUGGACGAAAGUCUGACGGAGCAACGCCGCGUGAGUGAUGAAGGAUUUCGGUCUGUAAAGCUCUGUUGUUUAUGACGAACGUGCAGUGUGUGAACAAUGCAUUGCAAUGACGGUAGUAAACGAGGAAG